GGCGUUGACGGCCUCGUGUCCAAGCACAGCCGGCCCGUGCGGCGGGAUGGAAGGAACGUGAACUGUAACAGGUGAGGGGGAAAUAAGGAAAAUAAGAUAACUCAAAGAAUGAAAACAGGAAACAGAUGCCUGGUGAUGUGUGUUACUUGUGAAAUGGGUUGCUUCGGCCCUAGAAGGGGAGUUUGAAAUUAGUCAUAGGCAGCUGUAUCCUGGUGUGGACGUUCAAAAGACCCCCCCUCCACACACACAUACACACACACACACACGUCCUCCUCCUGUUGGAGCACAAUCACAGACAAACAGACAGCUUUGUCCAGUUAAAACAAAAAAUACUGUUUUCUGUACCUGUUAUCAAAAGAUUUCAUCCACUAUCUCUAAAUUAACAGUUUCCCCUCACUUUACAAACUUCAGUGUUUUAUUUGUGGCUCAUAGUGCUGCAGUAAAAGCCAGAUUUUUUUAAUUCAGGACCUCAUUAAGAUUUUUAGAUAUUCCAAUCAACACAUUAUGGCACUUUACACCCUCCCUGCACCAGAAUACACUCGGGUGUGUUUGCUCUUGAUAAUGGUCCCCUCGUAUUUGAACUCUCCAUUACGCUCGUGUUUAUUUUUUGAAGUCAAAAUUGCACCCUGGCUAUAAAUAACUUUGGUAUUUUACGCAGAUAUUGUCUUAAGGGAGCCUGCCUUAGAAUUCUGCUGGUAUAAAAACACUUUAUCAAAGGAAGCAUAUGUUUGUGUGUGUGUGCAAGACUGCAAGCAUUGUGUUUCUACACAAAGUCCACUCUGCCAUGCUGGUUACUGGCAGACUGGCCUCAAAAUUAUGCAAGAAUACAAAAACAGAUGUAAAAAUACUUAAAAGUUUGAGCAAAAGUUAGAAUAAAUUCUGUCUUUUUUUUGCUUUUCAUUUCGAAAAUCUACAUUUUCAGGGCUAAAUCUGACAGUUUUUGUAAACAGCAUAACCCCCUGGAGGCAAAGGUCACACUUUGAUGACUUUUCUGGUGGCUCCCUGAGUGUUUUCCUGAUUCUCAAGUAUCCAAUAAACUACACAAGCAGGGGAUACAUACACAGCCGUCCCCUGUCAGGAAAACCAGCCCAAAUCCUUACUGCAUAAUACUUUAAAUAAAUCACGCCACAGGAAAGAAAGAGCACAAUCAUUGUUUAUGGCAGAACUACAGAGCUUAUCUUCAAAGCAGCAGAUCCUUUUGAAUUUGUAUCAGGUCUCAGACGAGCAAAAAGAAAGCCAGCAGUGCGUCGCUCUGCUUUGUGAUCAUGUGCUCGCACAAAAGUUUAGGAAAAAGGAAUCAAAUCAAGUAUUCUCUCACCCAAAACAAAUCAUUAAUCUCGGCUAAAACGAUUUGUUAGUCUGUUUUGGUCAAGCGGGUCUCUGCUUCAUAUAAUCUAAUGUCUGAGUCUAACCAGUUCACACUAUUUAAUUAAACAUCCAAGCAGUGCUGCUGGAGCUGCAAGCCCAGAUUGUUUUGGUUAUCUGCUGCUUUGAGUGAGCCGUUUCAGACAGACACAGAUAUCAUGGUGUCUCACAGGUCUCAGUCUAGUUCCAGUUAAUAAUGAGGGCUAAUUACAGCAGGCCUCUCUCUGUCCCCCUGUCUGCUGAGGACAGACUCGUGGAUCAAAUAGGCUAAUCGGUGAUACAUUCACACUGAAGUGGAAGUAAAGACAAAUUUCUGUCCAGUAAAAACAAAAAAUUAAGGUGUGACAAUAAACUUCUAUUGGAAAAAAAUCCAACAUUACAGACAGUAAAAGAAUUAGAGAAACGUACUCUGGUCCUCAGAUAAGACUCUUAGCAGUGGAAUACAAUUCCUAAUUUACAAAGAAUAGCGCUAUUUUCCAGCAUGAGUGAAGCUCUGCCUCAUUAGCCAGUCUCAGACAGAAAAAACACAAUUAGAAAGCAGAGUGACAACAAUGAAAGGAAAAAAAGAGGCAGACCAAAGAUUCAAUAAAUCAAUUAAUCUUUUUCAUUCAAUUGCUUUUACACAAAAAUGUAGACAUGCAGGACGUCAAACAAGGACUGUUUUUUUUAAAUUGACAGUCAGUCAGCUUUGAAAUUAAAUACUUUUAAGUGUUAAACAUAUUUAGUAAAAAUGAAUGCCUGCUAUAGUUCUGGUUUUCUGAGAUGCUCAAUACACAUUCAAUGUGAAAUACCAGCCAUAGACUUACUUGUUGAAGGAGCGUGACACAUCUUUUGAGCAAAAUAUCUUUACUUCUGAUGUUUAAUUUUAACUUUUCUCAGCUUUUAAGGCACCAAUUUCACAUCUUCAUUGUCAUAUGUUGCACGUUUUUAUUUCCUUCUCUAUUUUUUGUAUUAAUCAAAUGUAUUAAACCUCAAUUUUACCUGGAAAAAUACAAAGGAAUCUGGGCAAAAAUGCAGCACAAAUUCUUCACACAAUAAACAAACAGCAGAUAAUGACAACAACAAAUUACAUUCUGAAAGUUAAUUUGAAGUUUAUUGAUUUCUAUUUUUCCUUUUUCAUUAUCUGUCUUUUUUCAUAACAUUUCAGUCAAAGAUGAGUAUGAAGACAGAAGAACAAUACAUACAAUCUAAUAUUUUUUGCAUGAGGAUUCAAUAUUAGAAAUACAAUGAUACACAACAGGAAAAAGCAUCAAACUAUCCCACUGAGACGCUUGAAGAAGUUAAUAUUUGCCUUUUUAUUUUGCUUGAUUAUUCCCAUGAAUGUUUUUGAAAUGUCAAAACUCUUCAACUGACUAUUUCAGCCCUAAAAUGAUGUGAUAUGGAUUUUGCAGAAAUCCAAAUGUCACACUGCUCCUCUGA